rnacentral:rRNA from 1 species
UAUCCGGAUUUACUGGGUGUAAAGGGAGCCCAGGUGGUGCGGCAAGCCUGAUGUGAAAGCCCGGGGCUCAACCCCGGUACUGCAUUGGAAACUGUCGUACUAGAGUGUCGGAGGGGUAAGUGGAAUUCCUAGUGUAGCGGUGAAAUGCGUAGAUAUUAGGAGGAACACCAGUGGCGAAGGCGGCUUACUGGACGAUAACUGACGCUGAGGCUCGAAAGCGUGGGGA